AGCGGCAGGCGGGCGAUGGCGCGGGGCCGGGCGGCUUACGAGUACACGGAGGCGGAGGACAAGAGCAUGCGGCUGGGCUUCCUGCUCAUCGCCGCCGGGCUGCUCUCGCUGCUGGGGUUGGGCUGCUUCUGGCUGCGCCCGGCGCUGCAGGAGCGGGGCGGCGGCGGCGCCGCCAACUGCACGGUGCUGGCGGUGCGGCAGCUGGGCGAGCGCUUCGCCUGCACCUUCUCGUGCGGGGCCGCCUGCCGGGGCACCGCCCGCUACCCGUGCUUGCAGGUGCUGGUGCGCACCUCCCGCUCCGCCGCGCCCGCGCUGCUGCACGAGGACGAGCGGCAGCUCCGCACCAACCCCAAGGUGAGCGCGGGGCGGGCCCCGCUCGGAGCCGCGCUUGGCGGGUGGGGACGGGGCGGGUGCGGGCAGCAAAGGGUUGCGCCGAGGUGGAAGUUUCCUCGGUGCCUCUCAACUUCUGCACCGGCCCGUGGAAACCGGUGGAAAAGUUGCAGCCUCCGGCCAGCCGGGACGCGCCGUUCUUUCUUUCGGGGCGGACGCUCGAUUUGCCUUUUAAUGCCGAGCGAGGCGGAGGUGCCGUUAAGUCGUUUCCAGAAGACCCCGCAUUUACCCCCUCCGCGUCCCAGAAGAGCCCAGGAUGGGGUUGCGGAGCCCCGCCAGGGUGGGCUCGGCGCCGGCAGCGGUCCCGCGGCCCCACGGCUGCCGCAGCGGUGCGGUCGGGCUGCGCGCCCGCGCUCCGGGUGUCGCUUUUUGGCCCUCCGGUGGCUUUGCAGGCACGCAGCGGGCGUGGGUGAAAAGUCCGCGGGGCGGGAAGCGGGACGGUAAAUCUGACGGGGUUUGGAUUGAGCGGUCGGCGCCGCUCAGCUGAGGUGAGGCUGCGGGGAUGGGGCGGUGUGGGAGCUCUGCAAACUUCUCCCUUCCCGAGGUGACUCCACGAUCCCGCCUUCUCCCGCCCUUCUGGAAGCCUGACUGGAACUCGGAACCCCGUUUGGCCUCUCCGGCUGUGGGCUGCGCACCCCGUGGUAUUGCUGGCUGAUGGCUGAACCCGGCCGAGACCGAGUAGGAAGGAUGUCGUCUUGAUGCGACUGUGUUCUUUGGUUGUAACUGAGUUUAACUGAGUCGAAAAGAGCAUAGAAAGAAGCACUGCCCAACUAUUUUCCCUUACUUCAAGGAGUUCAUGCAAUACCGGUACAAAAUGGGCGUAAAAGUUGUUUAGGUCCCGUAAGGAAAAUGCAUCCUCUUAAAGGGGAUGAAGGAUGCGUUCGGUGCUUUGGUUCCGUGCUCCUGGAUUCAAGCCUGUCUGGCCGAGCGCCUACGGGCUCCUUUUUAUUUGUGUCCUAACCUAUCGCCCUCUUCGAGAGCUUUCAGGAUUUUGUGCUAAAGCAGAUUGGGCGUAGCAACAGGCUGGGAAUCCGCUGGGUUUCCUGAUUAGGGCCCAGUAUGUAUUUAUGAGCAAGCACCUGCGGAGCCCUUUAACCCUUCCUGCCCGCCCUCCUCCUGUAGCGCACCCACGCAUGCUAAUGGAGGGAGGCACACGGCAUGCUGAUCAGCUCGCAGACAGGAGGCAAAAAACACCGUGAACAAUUCUGCUUUGGAGGGUCUCGGUGAUCUCCAUUCCAUUUGGCUGCUUCUCCUCACGGGGCGGCUCUUUUGUUGUCGUUGCUGUUAAAGCAGUAGUGUGACAAAAGCGUAUUUUUUGUUGUAACACACGACUGUGCUGAAUUGGCCACUGGCUGCUCUCCACCAGAAACAACCCCCGUGCAUCACAUGAAAAAUACUCGACUUUCUGUAAUAGAGUGGGCUGGUGUAGAAAUGCAUCUGUCUGUCCCGGUGAGCUCCAGCUGCAGGAAAAGACUUUUUUUUUUUUCCUCCUGCUUCCUGGCACGAUCACAUUGCUGUAUGGCCCAGGAUUCAUUUUGGCUCUUAAAAGAUUAUGUAGUUGGGUCAGAGUUAAUCCAGAAAUGUAUAUAUGAAGCACUGCACGCGAUUACAUUUUGCUCUGAGAGAUUUGUGGAUUUCCUUUAUUUAUUUAUUUUUUUAUUGUCUCAGAGGAAGAAAUCUCAGCAGAGCGGCAGUAGCCUUUCUUCAGCUGCGUUGAUAGCAAUAAUCAUCAUCUCUGAGAUAAGGCUUAAGGGGGAUUAAUUGCGAAGUCAAUUUGUCGCUGACAUCGUGGCCGUGGAGCGAGAUGUCUUCCAUGGAGCGUGUACCAGCACACACAGCAGUGAUGGGCUGGGCUGAGGGUUUAUCUGGGCAGCAUGAUGGCAGGGCAUGCCAGCUGCCUGUAGGAUCUGCUGUCAUGCUUUCGGACUUCUCCUUGCAGUCAGGCACUAUUCUGGAAGAAUGCACUGCUUGGUGCUGCUGAGAAGGAUGUGGGGCAGACCCAGAGCCUGGGGACGUAAUUAUCAGUGCUUAUGCACCUCUGCUCCUUGCCAGCAGGAUGGUCAGGGUAGCCCUUCCUUACUCUCCAACCGUGAAGACAACCCAGAAAUGUGAGGGAAUGCUUGCACAACAAGUUUAGAGAAGCUCAUCAGGAGUCAGAAAUUGUUAGUUUGAGUGGUGUGUUGUACUUUUCCAAUGAUAGAGCACCAAGAGCAUACUUAGACAAGCAAAGCUGAACUGGGACUAGUUGUCAUCUAACUUUUAAGACAGAGUGAUGGAACUGGGAGGACACGGUGUCUGCUUUGUGCCAGCGCAGCAUUUCGGUGAUGGGGUUGGGAUUCCUCCAGGGAUGCUCAAAUGGUCCUGAGUCAUUGGCCCUACCAGCUGGCUCAGUGAGCUGGGGCAGAUGAGAGGCUUGGUGGUGGCACCGCUCCCACCUGGGGACACUGAAUGUGUGAAGGGGCUUUGUCUGGCAUGUGAGCCCGUGAUGGAGGCAGGACAGGUCCCUCUGCCACCCACCUGCUGCUGUCCUCAACCUGAAUCCAUUUCACCACAAGCUUCUCAAACUGCAAUGCCAGGCUGUCUGCCAUCCUCAGCAAACAGGACGUGCUGCAGUUCGCCGUUUGCCAGGAAGACCGUUCUUGAUGAGGCUCUUGGAGGCUGAGGCCAGAGUGUUCCUACAUCCCUCCCUGUGCCAGAGAUGACCAGGAGAACUCUGAGAAUGUCACGUACAAGCAGAAAUACUGGAAAGAGAAAGUGGGUUCACAACCAUUUACGUGCUAUUUUAACCAGCACUUGAGG